AUUGAACGCUGGCGGCAUGCCUUACACAUGCAAGUCGAACGGCAGCACGGGUGCUUGCACCUGGUGGCGAGUGGCGAACGGGUGAGUAAUACAUCGGAACAUGUCCUGUCGUGGGGGAUAGCCCGGCGAAAGCCGGAUUAAUACCGCAUACGAUCUACGAAUGAAAGCGGGGGACCUUCGGGCCUCGCGCUAUAGGGUUGGCCGAUGGCUGAUUAGCUAGUUGGUGGGGUAAAGGCCUACCAAGGCGACGAUCAGUAGCUGGUCUGAGAGGACGAUCAGCCACACUGGGACUGAGACACGGCCCAGACUCCUACGGGAGGCAGCAGUGGGGAAUUUUGGACAAUGGGCGAAAGCCUGAUCCAGCAAUGCCGCGUGUGUGAAGAAGGCCUUCGGGUUGUAAAGCACUUUUGUCCGGAAAGAAAUCCUUGGCCCUAAUACGGUCGGGGGAUGACGGUACCGGAAGAAUAAGCACCGGCUAACUACGUG
rnacentral:rRNA from 1 species